rnacentral:rRNA from 1 species
GUGCCAGCCGCCGCGGUAAUACCGGCAGCCCGAGUGAUGGCCGAUAUUAUUGGGCCUAAAGCGUCCGUAGCCGGCCGGGCAAGUCCGUUGGGAAAUCCACGCGCUCAACGCGUGGGCGUCCAGCGGAAACUGUUCGGCUUGGGGCCGGAGGACUCGAGGGGUACGUCCGGGGUAGGAGUGAAAUCCCGUAAUCCUGGACGGACCACCGGUGGCGAAAGCGCCUCGAGAGGACGGACCCGACGGUGAGGGACGAAAGCCAGGGUCUCGAACCGGAUUAGAAACCCUAGUAGUC